UUCGAGCCCACCCAGGGACGGCAGCGCUUGUUUUCCUGAGACUGUCUCUAUAGAGAUUCAUUUUAAAACGGCAACCAUGAGAUUUUUAAUCAAAUAGGUGUAAGACGCUACCAUGUUUCUAGGGCGGAGGAGGACAGUGCUCUCUUAACAUAGUUGGCACCUAACGUGGGUGGAUCUAAGAGUGACACUGCUUCUGGAUUGGCAGCCCAUGCGUUGUGAGUUCUCUUCCUACCGUAUAUCCAGGGGAAAUUUGCAUAUAUUCUUUAGGAGACCUGCCGAAGAUCGUUCACCAACAGCAGUAAUUGUAAUGCAAACCGCCCCCCCACCACCAAAAAAACAAUUGCCCAUUGACAGGUGACUGAAUAAAUACCAUUGGUUUCUCAGAAAAUCUGAUACCACCAAGAAGCAAAUGAAGUCAUUCAAUAUUGCCUUAUCUACUGCCAAAAAGAUUUGAGGAGCCCUACAGAUGAAAACAUCAGAGGAGACAUCUAAAAAAAAUCUGAUACCACCAAGAAGCAAAUGAAGUCAUUCAAUAUUGCCUUAUCUACUGCCAAAAGGAUUUGAGGAGCCCUACAGAUGAAAACAUCAGAGGAGACAUCUAAAACACAGGGAUUCUUUACAAUAACCACAAGUUCCACAGCCAGUGGGACAUCGGUUUACAACUGCA
rnacentral:lncRNA from 1 species